rnacentral:tRNA from 1 species
CCCUGGCUGGUUCAGUCAGUAGAGCAUGUGACUCUUGAUCUCAGGGUUGUGAGUUCAAGCCCCACGCUGGGUG